UGAAAUUUUGCCCGCGUCGUGGUCGCUGGUCGUAGGGAUUUCGAUGACCGGCUGCAUCGGGGCUGGUUCGUCCCGUCGGGCCUGCUCGGGUUUCCUCGUGCGCGAUCGUGCCCGAACGAUCCUGCUCGGACGAAUCGACGCGGGCCACCGUGCGAGUAACUCGAAACCACGGACGAGUUCUUCUUCUCUAUUUUUUCUCGCCCGUAGCUCCUCCGCUCUUUCCUUUCCCUUUCUGUGCCCCCCUGGCCCCCGCGACGGGGAAAACGCGGCGGGUUCUCCGCUUUCUUUCCCUGCAACGUGGUGCAACGUCGCCGAAGAUAUCACCGUCGUCGUUAUCGUUCCUCAUCGUCGAUGUCGCAACGUCGGAGACACAUCGACGCGUCAACAAUGUUCGUAAUCGCGACGUAGUUUACGACUACCCGAGGGUCAUAACCUAACGUACCUUCGUACUCGGAAAUAUUCGGGAUCGGUCGUUAAUUGUCGGGAAACGUAGAUGUCUCCUUGUUCGCCUCGUAGUGUUUAUUUGCCCAUCCUACUGAUUGUAUCGCUGUGUAAUCUUUAACGAGCCAGGAGGUGAAAGAUGGAGAUCGGUCAACGAAGUUACGAACACCGUCCAGUCGAAGACGAAAUAUUUUUACAAGCUUCCCAGAGACUAACGUAUCUAUGUUUCGUUCGUUGUAAUUCGAGAGAACAUCGAGGUCAUCCUUGGUCGUUGGAAUCUGCCGUGGCAAUCAAAGCGUUAGCGCACGCAUGAUCGCCGCUAACUCAUUAGUAACCCGAGACACCCUCGGGUCGCGUGUUGGAGACGUCGAAGCUCGCUCGAGGUGAGCAAUUCCAGAAACUUGGUAGGAUUUGCUGUUCUCCCGUCUAACGGUGAAUUUAUUCAUUAUUUAUUCUUUACAUCACCAGUUGUUUGCUACGCUUGCAAAGUAUGUGUUUCUCUCCUAGUUGGGCGAUCCGGUGUCAGGAGAAAAAU